rnacentral:rRNA from 1 species
GACGAACCACACGAACGUUAUUCGGAAUUACUGGGCUUAAAGGGUGCGUAGGCGGCGCGGUAAGUAGGGUGUGAAAUCCCUCGGCUCAACCGAGGAACUGCGCUCUAAACUACCGUGCUUGAGGGAGGUAGAGGUGAGCGGAACUUAGGGUGGAGCGGUGAAAUGCGUUGAUAUCCUAAGGAACACCGGUGGCGAAAGCGGCUCACUGGAUCUCUUCUGACGCUGAGGCACGAAAAGCUAGGGUAGCGAACGGG